rnacentral:lncRNA from 1 species
AACCAAGCAGCUGGUGACGCACAGGGACAGAGGGGCCCAGGGGCUGCUGGCUGCCAGGACCACCGCAUUGCAGAGGUCUCCCUUGCAGCAAGAGAUCUGGGAGUCCACAACGGCACUUAACCUGCCCUCUGCCCUGGCACCCCAGGGACUCACUGCCAAAGACGCUCACUUUCUGGGAGACACAGACCCCAUCCAGGAAGGGGCACGAGACCACGCUGCAGGAGGCCCCUUCCAAGACCGCCAAGCAUCUGUAGCAGCGCAGACCCUGAGCUGGGA